AAUUUGCAGCGUUCUGUUCUACUUCUUCACCGUCAGCGGCAUCUUCCUUUGCGGUUGUCCCGGGCACAUACAAACGCAUCUCAACAAGCUCAUCAACUUGAGCAGAAGGAAUUUGCUUAUCGUCUGUUGUAGAGAAUUCCAAAGCCACCUCAUUUUUUCCCGAAAGAUUAGUAUUCGUGACAGCUGAAAUAGGAAUCUCAAAGGCUGGCCGAGAAUUGACAUCAAACACAAGU